UCCUCCCACCACCCACCGCACUGUCGGGCGGCAGCCCACGAGCUCUGUCCGCAGGACGAUGCCUGCCCGCUGUCCGCCCAGCCGGCCGCUGGUCCUCCCCAGGAAAAACGCAUCCGUUUGCUGAAAUGAAUGAUUUCUGCCUGUAAAACCCAAAUCACCAUUUCACUCAAAGUAGCACUUAUCAUUUUUGUCUCCCUGAUAAUGCUGACAUCCAUAACAGCCUGGGGGCCACUCAACUUCUUGGCGGAGGGGACCAGAGGAGAUGCCAGGGACAGCCGGGGUCGGGGCCUGGGAGCCUGAGGGCUGGGUCCCGGCAGCCCCGGAGCCGCGUGAGGAAAGGCACCGGGAGGUGCCAGAAGGCAGCGCUGUGUCCGCGUCUGCUGCUGACACAGACCGUCUGCCACGCGUCUGAGGGACCACUGCCUCCUGCACACAGCGUGGGCUCUGAACGGCUUCGGGUGUUGAAUGUUAGAAUCUGGUUCCUGUAAACACUGUUUUCUCUCUCCCUCCUUCGGCACAGAUUCGGGGAGCCGGCUGCAGGCCAGGCUCACGAGCGCUGGGACCAGCUGGCGAGGACCAUCCCUGCCCUCCACAGCUCGUGGAGGAGGAGAAGUCGUCACGAGACGCCACGGGAGCCACGGAAGUCGGCCACGGAAGUCGGCCACCGACGCAGAGCCAUGCGAGCUCGUGAACAGGGCAAUUAUUUAGAACACCAUCCAGUGAAUGUCGCUGUGUGGUUAUGGCAGAGGACAGAGGCCAUUUCUGAAGAGGUACAAGCGGACGCCUGGGUCCAGCCGCAGACCGGGCGGAGAGGGGGCGUCAGCCGCGGGGACCGAGCACCGGGAGCCUCGGGUGCCCCCCCAGGAGCCAGCACGGCCCCGACACGGGGCCAUGUCUGAAGGGACGGGAAAAUCAGAACAGUUUUGCCGGCUCCGUUUGCUCUGAAAUAGCCGUGUGGGAGAGGCGGCUGCGCCCCACUCGACACCCUCCCGGGACUGCGGGAGGCAGCGGAGAACCUGCGCUGGGCUCCGUCGCCGCGGGAACAGACAGGAGCCUCCGCCUUCCCCUCUCGCCCGGCCAGGGGUCCCUGGGACCACCCCACACACACGGAUCCUCCUCUGGGCUCUGCUUGUGGGGAGCAGCCCAGACGUCACAGGGUGGCGACAGGCUCCGUGAAACGACCAACAGCGGCUCAGGGACAGCAGAGCCCACGGCCCAGCCUCCUCCCAUGUAAGCACCCGAGGGGCCAACAGGGAAACUGAGGCGCAGCAUACCCCCCCUCAGCUCAGAUUCCGGAACCAAACAGUAGCAUCCCUCGGUGCCCGGGCAUAAGGGAGGGGACUUAGCCGCCUUUGCCUUCUGGGGCCCUGCCGGCCCGAGAACUGUCCUACCUAAAGACGACACAGAAAAAGUAUAGGGGUGUGAGCAGCACCUCCGUGUCACGCCUCGGGACCAGGACAUAGCCCACAAUAGCCCAGUGACACGGGAGAGCCUCGGGACCAGGACACAGCCCAAGAAAGCCCAGUGACAUGGGAGAACCCGGGACUAGGACACAGCCCGAGAAAGCCCAGUGACACAGAGUGCCCUGGGAACGCGGAGGCUGCGUCCCAGCUCCGGCGGGAGGGCAGCUGUCUGUUCUGGGUGAGGGCGGCCAAGGACAAGGGCUCCAGGGCACGGUGGGGUGGAGAGAGCAGGAGGCAGAGAGGAAGUGAGGCGGGAGGACACCCAGACGGGCAGGGGUGGGGGGACGGCUGCACUUGGGUCUGGGUGUCCCUCGGCCCCUCGGCCCCUCGGCCCCUCUGCAGUGCAAGGCCGGGACCCUGCCUCUCCCGCCUCUUUCUCACCGGCCCGCUGGGCUGCUGCGCAGCGAAGACUUGGGGACCCGCCUCGCCUGUGCCGGCAGGAGGAGGUGACAUCCCAGGAGCCCCACUGCGGCCUCCUGCCUCCCGCAUGGCGUGGCCCGACCUCCCAGCACACACGUGUCGGGCUCGGGCCCAGAGCACCUGGCCCCCUGCUCGGCUCUCUCCAGCCAGGGUCGGCGGCGAUUUAAAGUGGGCGUCACCAGUGGCAGCUUCUUUAACACAGUAACUGCCCUGCGAGUUGUGUUUAACUCGCACUCGUUAGUUGAGCCCGGGGCCUCGUGAAGCGUAUGUAACUCAUGUCUCCUCUCCCUGGGAGCCGUGUGAACUACUUUCCAAGUUGCAUAUAACUCACGCACGGAAAACAA